CCAAAGGCUCUUUUAAGAGCCACACACUUUUUUAAAGAAAGGGCA
rfam:Danio rerio chromosome 25, GRCz11 reference primary assembly.